UAUGGAAACCACAAACUUGCCAGGAUUUAAUAUAAGCUUACAUCCUAUAAAAUGAUUCAGGUUAGUAGUCAACCAAUAACCAUGCAGAAAGCUGAACUACUAACUCACUACAGACAAACAGAAUGCUACAGCAAAUCUUCAUAACUCUUCUGCUCAUAUUUCACCUGGCAUCUUCCACUCAUGAGAAAUCAGCAGACAAGAAUGUAGAGGAGGUCAAAGAUGAGUUUAAUGGACAUUUAUCAGACCCUUCAGCAAAAGCAGCCAUGAUAAAGCACAUUGGAGACAUGGCAUUCAUCGAAGUUCCUCACGGCAAGAAUCAGUCCACAGAUCAGACAAGAACUAGGAGAAAUGCGAUACGUCAUUCCAGCGCUCUAUGGCCGAAUGCACGAGUACCAUACACCAUUUCUUCUGACUUUAGUGAAAACGAGAGGGAAGUAAUCCUACAGGCAAUGAGGCACUGGGAAGACAGAACUUGUCUUCGAUUUUUUCCUCGCACAACUGAACCCUACUACAUAUAUAUCCUUUCAGGAGAUGGGUGCUAUUCUUAUGUUGGACGUGUGCAUCACAAUUAUCAACCUCAAGGUGUCUCUCUGGGUCCGGGAUGUGUGCAUUUGAGAAUAGCUGUUCAUGAGAUAGGACAUGCAGUAGGAUUUUAUCAUGAGCACACUCGGCAUGACCGCGACCAGUACGUAAACGUAAUCACAAAUAACAUCAAGGAUGGACGAGCAGGCAAUUUGUGAAAGCUAAACCUGGUCAAACACUUACAUUAGGUUAUGGCUAUGACUAUGCCAGCAUUAUGCACUACACUGGUACUUCGUUUGCGAAGUCCCGUAGCAAUCCGACUAUUGUAGCGACAGACGAAGGAAUUGUGUUCGGCUCUGCACAAGAACUAAGCCCUUUGGAUGUCCUUAAAGCAAAUGCCCUUUAUCGAUGUGGUUCUACAAGGCCCCCGAUUAGCACCUACCCACAAAGUACUAAAGCCCUGACCCUUCCGGACGGAAUCACAUGCGGUGGAGUCAUGGAAGGUAAAAGUGGAACAUUCUACUCGCCGAGUUAUCCCAACCAUAUUGUGAAUCAGAGGUGUGCAUGGGUGAUUCGGGUGCCUGAAGGAUACAGAGUUCGCCUGAGUUUUCCAGGACUCAGCAUAGAGCAGAGUGCUGGGUGCAUUAAAGACUAUGUCCAAGUAUUUACUGGACGAUCUAUAAACCCUGAGGAUGGUGAAUAUCUUUCAAGAAAUGCUAGAGAUGGCAAAUUUUGCAGCUCUAGCCAGAUAUACACCUCAAACUAUGUGUAUGACAACACAGCAACUGUCUACUACCACACUGAUAGUAGCAACACAGGACCUGGUACACCGCGGGGACUUCGGGUGGACUUCUCAACAAUUGACAUCAAUGAGUGUGGUGGCCAAUCAAACAGAUGUCACACAUGCACAAAUCUUGACGGAUCGUACCGCUGUGAAUGUAAAAAUGGAUACUAUCACUCUCCAGCAGCAAGUACUUGCUUUGAUUUUAAUGAGUGUGCAUACGAUAAUGGAGGAUGUGAUCAUAUUUGUGACAACACUGGAGGCUCUUAUAUAUGCAAAUGUAAUCCUGGCUACUACCUACAAGCAGAUGGUCUGAGCUGCACAAC